UGCAGUCGAACGGUAGCACAGAGAGCUUGCUCUCGGGUGACGAGUGGCGGACGGGUGAGUAAUGUCUGGGAAACUGCCUGAUGGAGGGGGAUAACUACUGGAAACGGUAGCUAAUACCGCAUAACGUCGCAAGACCAAAGAGGGGGACCUUCGGGCCUCUUGCCAUCAGAUGUGCCCAGAUGGGAUUAGCUAGUAGGUGGGGUAACGGCUCACCUAGGCGACGAUCCCUAGCUGGUCUGAGAGGAUGACCAGCCACACUGGAACUGAGACACGGUCCAGACUCCUACGGGAGGCAGCAGUGGGGAAUAUUGCACAAUGGGCGCAAGCCUGAUGCAGCCAUGCCGCGUGUAUGAAGAAGGCCUUCGGGUUGUAAAGUACUUUCAGCGGGGAGGAAGGCGGUGAGGUUAAUAACCUCAUCGAUUGACGUUACCCGCAGAAGAAGCACCGGCUAACUCCGUGCCAGCAGCCGCGGUAAUACGGAGGGUGCAAGCGUUAAUCGGAAUUACUGGGCGUAAAGCGCACGCAGGCGGUCUGUCAAGUCGGAUGUGAAAUCCCCGGGCUCAACCUGGGAACUGCAUUCGAAACUGGCAGGCUAGAGUCUUGUAGAGGGGGGUAGAAUUCCAGGUGUAGCGGUGAAAUGCGUAGAGAUCUGGAGGAAUACCGGUGGCGAAGGCGGCCCCCUGGACAAAGACUGACGCUCAGGUGCGAAAGCGUGGGGAGCAAACAGGAUUAGAUACCCUGGUAGUCCACGCCGUAAACGAUGUCGACUUGGAGGUUGUGCCCUUGAGGCGUGGCUUCCGGAGCUAACGCGUUAAGUCGACCGCCUGGGGAGUACGGCCGCAAGGUUAAAACUCAAAUGAAUUGACGGGGGCCCGCACAAGCGGUGGAGCAUGUGGUUUAAUUCGAUGCAACGCGAAGAACCUUACCUACUCUUGACAUCCAGAGAACUUUGCAGAGAUGCUUUUGGUGCCUUCGGGAACUCUGAGACAGGUGCUGCAUGGCUGUCGUCAGCUCGGUGUUGUGAAAUGUUGGGGUUAAGUCCCGCAAACGAGCGCAACCCUUAUCCUUUUGUUGGCCAGCGGGUUAGGCCGGGAAACUCAAAGGAGACUGCCAGUGAUAAACUGGGAGGAAAGGUGGGGGAUGGACGUCAAGCCAUCAUGGCCCCUUACGAGUAGGGCUACACACGUUGCUACAAUGGC
rnacentral:rRNA from 1 species